rnacentral:rRNA from 1 species
AUUGAACGCUGGCGGAAUGCUUUACACAUGCAAGUCGAACGGCAGCACGGACUUCGGUCUGGUGGCGAGUGGCGAACGGGUGAGUAAUGUAUCGGAACGUGCCCAGUCGUGGGGGAUAACGUAGUGAAAAUUACGCUAAUACCGCAUACGAUCUAUGGAUGAAAGCGGGGGAUCGCAAGACCUCGCGCGAUUGGAGCGGCCGAUAUCAGAUUAGGUAGUUGGUGGGGUAAAGGCCCACCAAGCCAACGAUCUGUAGCUGGUCUGAGAGGACGACCAGCCAGACUGAAACUGAGACACGGUCCAGACUCCUACGGGACGCAGCAGUGUGGAAUUUUGGACAAUGGGCGAAAGCCUGAUCCAGCCAUUCCGCGUGCAGGAUGAAGGCCCUCGGGUUGUAAACUGCUUUUGUACAGAACGAAAAGGUUUCUACUAAUACUAGGAGCUCAUGACGGUACUGUAAGAAUAAGCACCGGCUAACUACGUGCCAGCCGCCGCGGUAA